ACGAACGCUGGCGGCGUGCUUAACACAUGCAAGUCGAGCGGUAAGGCUCCUUCGGGAGUACACGAGCGGCGAACGGGUGAGUAACACGUGAGCAAUCUGCCCUUCACUUCGGGAUAACUCCGGGAAACCGGUGCUAAUACCGAAUACGACCACUUCAGGCAUCUGAUGGUGGUGGAAAGUUCCGGCGGUGAAGGAUGAGCUCGCGGCCUAUCAGCUUGUUGGUGGGGUGANGGCCUACCAAGGCGACGACGGUUAGUCGGCCUGAGAGGGCGACCGGCCACACUGGGACUGAGACACGGCCCAGACUCCUACGGGAGGCAGCAGUGGGGAAUAUUGCACAAUGGGCGGAAGCCUGAUGCAGCGACGCCGCGUGAGGGAUGACGGCCUGGUGUAAC
rnacentral:rRNA from 1 species